UACAGAGGUCCCGAGCGUUGUUCGGAUUCAUUGGGCGUAAAGGGUGCGUAGGCGGCGGGGAAAGUCUGAUGUGAAAUCCUGGGGCUCAACCCUGGAACUGCAUUGGAUACUUCCUUGCUAGAGUACUGGAGAGGAAACUGGAAUUUACGGUGUAGCAGUGAAAUGCGUAGAGAUCGUAAGGAAGACCAGUGGCGAAGGCGAGUUUCUGGACAGUUACUGACGGCUGAGGCACGAAGGCCAGGGGAGCAAACGGG
rnacentral:rRNA from 1 species